UACUCCGUUGAUAAAAGUAAU
rnacentral:piRNA from 1 species